rnacentral:rRNA from 1 species
UACGGAGGGUGCAAGCGUUAUCCGGAUUCACUGGGUUUAAAGGGUGCGUAGGUGGGUUUGUAAGUCAGUGGUGAAAUCUCCAAGCUUAACUUGGAAACUGCCGUUGAUACUAUAAAUCUUGAAUGUUGUGGAGGUGAGCGGAAUAUGUCAUGUAGCGGUGAAAUGCUUAGAGAUGACAUAGAACACCCAUUGCGAAGGCAGCUUACUACGCCUAUAUUGACGCUGAGGCACGAAAGCGUGGGGAUCAAACAGG